rnacentral:rRNA from 1 species
AUUGAACGCUAGCGGGAUGCUUUACACAUGCAAGUCGAACGAGUGGCGGACGGGUGAGUAAUAUAUCGGAACGUGCCCAGUAGCGGGGGAUAACUACUGGAAACGGUAGCUAAUACCGCAUACUAUCGGAUGAACCCAUAUGGGAUUAGCUAGUAGGUGGGGUAAUGGCUCACCUAGGCGACGAUCCCUAGCUGGUCUGAGAGGAUGGCCAGCCACACUGGAACUGAGACACGGUCCAGACGCCUACGGGAGGCAGCAGUGGGGAAUAUUGCACAAUGGGCGCAAGCCUGAUGCAGCCAUGCCGCGUGUGUGAAGAAGGCCUUCGGGUUGUAAAGCACUUUCAGCGAGGAGGCGUUACUCGCAGAAGAAGCACCGGCUAACUCCGUGCCAGCAGCCGCGGUAAUAC